rnacentral:rRNA from 1 species
GUCCACGCUGUAAACGAUGUCGACUUGGAGGUUGUUCCCUUGAGGAGUGGCUUCCGGAGCUAACGCGUUAAGUCGACCGCCUGGGGAGUACGGCCGCAAGGUUAAACUCAAAUGAAUUGACGGGGCCCGCACAAGCGGUGGAGCAUGUGGUUUAAUUCGAUGCAACGCGAAGAACCUUACCUGGUCUUGACAUCCACGGAAGUUUUCAGAGAUGAGAAUGUGCCUUCGGGAACCGUGAGACAGGUGCUGCAUGGCUGUCGU